CUCAUUAAAUCAGUUAUAGUUUAUUUGAUGGUCUCUUUGUUCUUCUUUUUACCUACUUGGGUAACCGUGGUAAUUCUAGAGCUAAUACAUGCGCAAGGUCCCAAGCGCGGAGGGUAGGGCUUCACGGCUCUAUUCUUGCAUGCGCAGCGGGAUGUAUUUAUUAGGUUAAACAACCAUCAUUUUUCAUCAUCUGGUGAUUCAUAGUAACUCUUUCGGAUCGCAUUCAUG
rnacentral:rRNA from 1 species